rnacentral:rRNA from 1 species
AUUGAACGCUGGCGGCAGGCCUAACACAUGCAAGUCGAGCGGAUGACGGGAGCUUGCUCCUUGAUUCAGCGGCGGACGGGUGAGUAAUGCCUAGGAAUCUGCCUGGUAGUGGGGGACAACGUUUCGAAAGGAACGCUAAUACCGCAUACGUCCUACGGGAGAAAGCAGGGGACCCUCGGGCCUUGCGCUAUCAGAUGAGCCUAGGUCGGAUUAGCUAGUUGGUGGGGUAAUGGCUCAUCAAGGCGACGAUCCGUAACUGGUCUGAGAGGAUGAUCAGUCACACUGGAACUGAGACACGGUCCAGACUCCUACGGGAGGCAGCAGUGGGGAAUAUUGGACAAUGGGCGAAAGCCUGAUCCAGCCAUGCCGCGUGUGUGAAGAAGGUCUUCGGAUUGUAAAGCACUUUAAGUUGGGAGGAAGGGCAGUAAGCUAAUAUCUUGCUGUUUUGACGUUACCGACAGAAUAAGCACCGGCUAACUCUGUGCCAGCCGCCGCCGUAACAC